rnacentral:rRNA from 1 species
GACAUAGGUGGCGAACGUUAUCCGGAAUUAUUGGGCGUAAAGGGUGCGUAGACGGUCUAGUAAGUUGGCAGCGGGAAAUCGAGGCCCAACCUCGUGGAAGUUGUUAAUACUACUAUACUCGAGUGCAGGAGAGGUUAACGGAACUCAAUGUGGAGCGGUAAAAUGUGUAGAUAUAUUGAAGAACACCAAUAACGGCGAAGGCAGUUAACUAUUCUGUUACUGACGUUGAGGCACGAAAGCGUGGGGAAGCAAAAAGGAGUUAGAAAACCCUGAAGAUC